rnacentral:rRNA from 1 species
GUCGAGCGCACCUUCGGGUGAGCGGCGGACGGGUUAGUAACGCGUGGGAACAUACCCUUUUCUACGGAAUAGCCUCGGGAAACUGAGAGUAAUACCGUAUAAGCCCUUCGGGGGAAAGAUUUAUCGGGAAAGGAUUGGCCCGCGUUAGAUUAGAUAGUUGGUGGGGUAAUGGCCUACCAAGUCUACGAUCUAUAGCUGGUUUUAGAGGAUGAUCAGCAACACUGGGACUGAGACACGGGCCCAGACUCCUACGGGAGGCAGCAGUGGGGAAUCUUAGACAAUGGGCGCAAGCCUGAUCUACCCAUGCCGCGUGUGUGAUGAAGGUCUU